rnacentral:rRNA from 1 species
UACGUAGGGUGCGAGCGUUAAUCGGAAUUACUGGGCGUAAAGCGUGCGCAGGCGGUUCGUUGUGUCGGCGGUGAAAUCCCCGGGCUCAACCUGGGAAUGGCCGUUGAAACUGGCGAACUGGAGUGUGGCAGAGGGGGGUGGAAUUCCGCGUGUAGCAGUGAAAUGCGUAGAGAUGCGGAGGAACACCGAUGGCGAAGGCAGCCCCCUGGGCUGACACUGACGCUCAGGUACGAAAGCGUGGGGAGCAAACAGG